UAAGCACGAAACUUGCCCCGAGAUGAGUUCUCCCUGAGACUUUAAGUCUCCUGAAGGAACGUUAAAGACGAUGACGUUGAUAGGCCGGGUGUGUAAGCGCAGCGAUGCGUUGAGCUAACCGGUACUAAUGAACCGUGAGGCUUAACCUUACAACGCCGAAGAUGUUUUG
rnacentral:rRNA from 1 species